rnacentral:rRNA from 1 species
UGGGGAAUUUUCCGCAAUGGGCGGAAGCCUGACGGAGCAAGACCGCGUGAGGGAGGAAGGCCCUUGGGUUGUAAACCUCUUUUCUCAGGGAAGAAGAAAGUGACGGUACCUGAGGAAUCAGCCUCGGCUAACUCCGUGCCAGCAGCCGCGGUAAUACGAAGGGGGCUAGCGUUGUUCGGAAUUACUGGGCGUAAAGCGCGCGUAGGCGGAUCUUUAAGUCAGGGGUGAAAUCCCGGGGCUCAACCUCGGAAUUGCCUUUGAUACUGGAGAUCUUGAGUCCGAGAGAGGUGAGUGGAACUCCGAGUGUAGAGGUGAAAUUCGUAGAUAUUCGGAAGAACACCAAUGGCGAAGGCGGCUCACUGGCUCGGUACUGACGCUGAGGUGCGAAAGCGUGGGGAGCAAACAGGAUUAGAUACCCCUGUAGUCC